UGACGUUCCCGAACGCACUGGUCUGGUACUCGGUGAACACCGGGCGCGCGACCGUGCUGGCCGCGUUCAGCAACAAGCUGCUCUCGUCCCCCGAAACCAGCGGGCUUCUCCCUAGUGGACCUGUUUUGGGAGACAGGCUGUGUUUGAAAGGCUUCUGGGCAGAUGGAGUGUCCCACCAGUCAAACACAAAGAAGACACCAGAGUGGAGAAACAGGUAAGCCAACAUGCAUGCCACAUGUGGAAGUCAGAGGACAGCUUGCAGGAGUCAAUUCCCGCCCUCCUGGGAGGUCAAACUCAGUCUAUGAAGGUCGACAGCAAGCCCCGUUAUCCACUAAGCCAUCUCGACGGACCUACGCCCACUUGUGCUGACAUUUACUUCACCCUAAGUAUAUGUUAAAAUUAAUAAUGAUAUUCUGAUUGCUCGUAUUUAACUAAUCAUUUAAAAACUAAUGUGCAAACAUAAAGGCAAGAUCCAAGACUGUUUCGAGCAUUUGUAACUAUCGUACAUUCAAACCAAUACUUCCAUGUAAAUGCUAAAAAGGGCUCUUUAGAGCUUCCUUAAAAAUGAAAGUCAGAAGGCAACAUACCACUGGGGAAAUAGUUUUCUUCUUGCCAAGAUAAAAAUAUCUGAAAUAAUACAUUGAAUACAAAUGGGGGAAAAAACAACCCUGCAUUCCUUUGUCAGCAAAGACCUUCAAAAUAUGCACAGAAAGUUGCUGAACCCAGAGUCACAAGUGUUGGAACAGCAGUGUGGGAAGUUGCAGGCUACACUGAAAGCUGAUGUCUUUAACACUUUCCACUUUGGGAUGUUUACUGGGUUCUGCUGCACUAUGGCAUUUUCUAGACCAUGCUUCAAUAAUAAAAUACAACUUUUUGUGUGAUCUUAAAAGAAAGCUCUAAUAAAGGUGGCAGAUUUUCUUCCUUAUUCUUCAAAAAUGGCUGUUCAAAAGUAAAAGCUAAUCUAUUUAAUGUUUUUGGAAGUGUAAACAUUUAUGGAUUCAUGGGAAUUUUUGCCUUUUUUUGUUUGUUUGUUUGUUUUGUUGUGUUUGUUUGUGUCCCAGGCUGACCUCAGACUCAUGACAAUCCUCCUGCCUCAGCCUCCUGAGUGCCAGGAUUAAUGGUAUGUGCCACCGUGUUUGAUGGAUUAGUUUUGACUAAGAUUAUUCACUUUUGAAGUGAGGAAGUAUUGCGAACUAAGGAGAGAGCAAGCACAUGAGCUUUCUUCCCAGUACACCUCACAGGCAAUUCAAACCAGCUGGCAUCAGAACAUGCAGCAUGAUAGGAUGUUAUCUGUGUGUUAAGUCUGUGAAAAAACAAUUUGUUUAUAGCUGUUGGUAAUCAAUCUACCUCAAGAUCCAGCUAUACCACUUUUAUGUUUCAUCUUUUAUGUUUUAUGAGGACACUUGCUCAACCAUAUUCACUACUACUUUAUUCAUAAUAGCCAGAAACUGGAAACAACCUAGCUAUCCCUCAAGAGAAGAAUGGAUAAAGAAAGUGUGUGUGAUACAUUUACACAAUGGAGUAUUACUUAGCUGUUAAAAGAAAUGACAUCAUGAAAUUUGCAGACAAAUAGAUGGAACUAGAAAAAAGUCAUCCUGAGAGAGGUAACCCAGAUGUAGAAUGAUAAAUAUGGUGCUUAUUCACUUAUAUAUGGAUAUUAGCCAUUAAAUAAAUGAUAACCAACAUACAAUCCAUAGACCCAAAGAGGUUAGA